GCAAAAGGAAAAACAUUUAAUACACAAAAAAGCACAAUUAAAAAGUAUUAAAAGCAUUACAUAGUGCAAACACCAAAAAGACAGCUGUUAAUUUCAUGGCGCUUAUAAAGAAAACUAGGCAAGAAUGCAGAAAAUGCCUUCCUCUUUCCUCAUUUAGUGAGCUGGCCACAUUCGAAAGGUUAUUUUUUUUGUGUGUGUGAGAGACUGAAGUUUUAUUAUUACUCAAUUCAGUCUCCCAAAAAGUUAUUUUAAAUUGCCACUUUCUUCCCACUUUAUGAAACCACAUUUGCUGCUCUUGAUUGUGACUCUCUGAUCGGAGACAUCUGGAAAACUGCAUGUUUUCUAUCUAUGGGCAGUGCAUUUUAUGCCACCUACUCAAGUGUGCGUAGAAAGAGACAUUUUGGGCCAGGCAUGGUGGCUCACGCCUGUAAUCUCAGUACUUUGGGAGGCCAAGACAGGCAGAUCGCCUGAGGUCAGGAGUUCAAGACCAGCCUCGCCAACAUGGUGAAACCCUUUCUCUACUAAAUAUACAAAAAUUAGCCAGGUGUGAUGGUGCACGCCUGUAGUCCCAGCUACUUGAGAGGCUGAGGCAGGAGAAUCGCUUGAACCCAAGAGGCUUACAGUGAGCCAAGAUCACGCCACUGCAGUCCAGCCUGGGCGACAGACUGAGACUGUCUCAAAAAAAAAAAGAAAAGAAAAGAAAAGAAAAAAGUUUUGUACAUCAAGACCACAGCAAGAUGGUUUUAUCAGGAUAGAAUGUACUAUCCAAAUUUACAAACUUCUCUCAGAACACCUAGAGAAAGAACUCUUUUCUAGUCAAGAGCCUCAUAUCAAAGAAAGAAUACCUAAACUAGAAGCAUGGGUAAAAGGGCUUGCAGUAAGCAAACAGGCUCUGCCAGGCAGGCAAUAAAGGAGAGCUUGUGCUCAGCUUCCAGAACAUGAGGUAUUCUGAAUAUAUACCCAGAGCUUGGUACACCAAGAGCAUAAUAGUUCUUAGAUCUCUUCAAGGAUAUUAACAGGCUUCAAAGUUGCUCUCCCAUAUUGAAUCCCCGCAACAAACUAUGAGGUAGAAGGGUAGGUACGUGUACUGCUUUUUAUAGAUACGAAAAACUGAGGCAUAUGGAGGUCAAGACUGGCACUCAAUACUUACUCUACCUCCACCCCAAGAGGCACUUAAUAGUGCACAGCUAGAGACUAAAGAAAGUCAUAUUCAGAGGUUGCUAUGAGGUCUACCUUGCCAAGUGCUGAGGAAGCCAAGCAUUUCAUCCAUCCUUUGAAAUAUUUCCUGUUGAUUUUUAAAGGGGGAAGAAAAAACCCCAAAAGAAACACUUCGAUUCUCAUUGAAAAGGAAGUGAAAAAAUGAGGCAAACUACAGAGAAAAAAAUAAUCAUGUUAGAAGGAAGUCUGGCCUCAAUUUCUUUGAGACAGGGUCUCUGUCACCCACCUUGGAUUGCAGUGGUGCCAUCUCAGCUCACUGCAACCUCCACCUCCAAGGCUCAAGCAAUCCUCCCACCUCAGCUUCCUGAGUAGCUGGGACAACAAGCGUGCACCCACCGUGCCCAGUUAUUUUUUGUAUUUUUGGUAGAAACAGGGUUUCGCCAUGUUGCCCAGGCUGGUCUUGAGCUCCUGAGCUCAAGCAAUCUGCCCAUUUUGGCCGCCCAAGUGCUGGGAUAACAGAAGUGAGCCACUGCGCCUGGCCUGACCUCAAUUUCUUAGUGCUGAGACAACAGGGGAGCUAACUUCCCCAUCCCCCAUCACACACAAAAAGGAAGCCUCAACUACGAGUUGUCACUUUAUUAGAUAGUAGCUCUGCCAUCACAGCUUCCCAUCUACUGCCUAACUCUGCAACAGAAACAUUCCCUCUUUCCCUGGGAAGAGGAAUCUUAUCUAAAGAUACUGUAGUUACAAGGACUGAUAAGGGUCUUUGGUAUAAAAGCAAUAUCCAGAAAUAAGAUAACAACUUUGAACUAAGGGGAUAUAAAUGACACAGUAAAGGUGGAAGAAAGGGUUUUUUCUAAGGGAGACCAGAGUUUUAUUAUUACUCAAAUCAGUCUCCCAAAAAGUUAUUUUAACAUGCUGUUUUCUUCCCACUUUAUGAAACCACAUUUGCUACUCUGUUGACAGGGACGAUCUGAUCAGAAAUAUUUGUCUGUUGAUAUCAGUACUUGACUGUUAAAAAAAAUGCCUUCAGAGAGCUGUUAUAAUGAUAAAUGUCAAUUUUCUUUUUUCUUUUUUUUUGAGACUGAGUCUCGCUCUGUCGCCCAGGCAGGAGCGCAGUGUGGCAAGGAAAAAAGAACAAAAUCAAAAACAGAUCACGAAAACAGUUUAAGCUGGGCACUGUGGCUCACGCCUGUAAUCCCAGCACUUUGCGAGGCCAAGGUGGGUGGAUGACCUGAGGUCAGGAGUUCGAGACCAGCCUGACCAACAUGGUGGAACCAUCUCUACUAAAAAUACGAAAUUAGCCAGACAUGGUGGUGCACACCUGUAAUCCCAGCUACUUGGGAGGCUGAGGCAGGAGAAUCAUCUGAAACUGGGAGGCGGAGGUUGCAGUGAGCCAAGCACUCUACUGCACUCCAGCCUGGGCGACAAGAGCAAAACUCCAUCUCAAAUUUAAAAAAAAAAAGAAAAGAAAUAAAGUUUCCUACAAGUGAAGAUGAAAUUCGGCUCAAGAACAUAGCUUAGGAUCGCCUAAGUACUUAGUGCUAACAGAAGCAGUGAAAAACCCUGGUGAGCAAGCAGGAACAGGAGUAAAGCUGAGUAGCAUAA
rnacentral:lncRNA from 1 species